rfam:Talaromyces stipitatus ATCC 10500 scf_1105507295523 genomic scaffold, whole genome shotgun sequence.
GGCAAGAUGGCCGAGCGGUCUAAGGCGCUAGCUUAAGGUGACUAAUCAGUCUUUGAUUGGUUGACCGCUAGUCCGAAAGGGCGUGGGUUCGAAUCCCACUCUUGUCA